rnacentral:rRNA from 1 species
GACGAACGCUGGCGGCGUGCUUAACACAUGCAAGUCGAACGGAAAGGCCCUGCUUGCAGGGUACUCGAGUGGCGAACGGGUGAGUAACACGUGGGUGAUCUGCCCUGCACUUCGGGAUAAGCUUGGGAAACUGGGUCUAAUACCGGAUAGGACCGCACUUUAGUGUGUGUGGUGGAAAGUUUUUUCGGUGUAGGAUGAGCUCGCGGCCUAUCAGCUUGUUGGUGGGGUAAUGGCCUACCAAGGCGGCGACGGGUAGCCGGCCUGAGAGGGUGUACGGCCACAUUGGGACUGAGAUACGGCCCAGACUCCUACGGGAGGCAGCAGUGGGGAAUAUUGCACAAUGGGCGCAAGCCUGAUGCAGCGACGCCGCGGGGGGGAUGAAGGCCUUCGGGUUGUAAACUCCUUUCGCUAGGGACGAAGCUUUUUGUGACGGUACCUAGAGAAGAAGCACCGGCUAACUACGUG